GACGAACGCUGGCGGCGUGCUUAACACAUGCAAGUCGAACGGAAAGGCCCUUCGGGGUACUCGAGUGGCGAACGGGUGAGUAACACGUGGGUGAUCUGCCCUGCACUUUGGGAUAAGCCUGGGAAACUGGGUCUAAUACCGAAUAGGACCGCGCGCUUCAUGGUGUGUGGUGGAAAGCUUUUGCGGUGUGGGAUGGGCCCGCGGCCUAUCAGCUUGUUGGUGGGGUAAUGGCCUACCAAGGCGACGACGGUUAGCCGGCCUGAGAGGGUGACCGGCCACACUGGGACUGAGAUACGGCCCAGACUCCUACGGGAGGCAGCAGUGGGGAAUAUUGCACAAUGGGCGCAAGCCUGAUGCAGCGACGCCGCGUGAGGGAUGACGGCCUUCGGGUUGUAAACCUCUUUCACCAGGGACGAAGCGCAAGUGACGGUACCUGGAGAAGAAGCACCGGCCAACUACGUG
rnacentral:rRNA from 1 species